CGUGCAGGCGGUUCCGUAAGUCGGACGUGAAAGCUCCUGGCUUAACUAGGAGAGGCCGUUCGAUACUGCGGGGCUUGAGGUCGGGAGAGGGACGUGGAAUUCCCGGUGUAGUGGUGGAAUGCGUAGAUAUCGGGAGGAACACCAGUGGCGAAGGCGGCGUCCUGGCCCGCACCUGACGCUAAGACGCGAAAGCGUGGGGAGCGAACG
rnacentral:rRNA from 1 species